UCACUAUGAGCUCCACCAUUACUAUCACUCUCAGAUUUUAGAGAACUAUCACAUCUUCCAAACAUGCCUAGUUCCACUAAUCUACAAUCAACAAUCCCAUAUGGACACCUAACAUUUCUAUAACAAUACUUAUGAUGCCUAACAUUCCUAUAACAAUACUUCCAAAGGGCUAUAUGCUCGUCACGACUAGAGGGUUCAACCAGGUUGCCAUCCUUAUCUAAAUCCC
rnacentral:lncRNA from 1 species